ACUCCUACGGGAGGCAGCAGUGGGGAAUAUUGCACAAUGGGGGAAACCCUGAUGCAGCCAUGCCGCGUGUGUGAAGAAGGCCUUCGGGUUGUAAAGCACUUUCAGUAGGGAGGAAGGUAGUGUAGUUAACACCUGCAUUAUUUGACGUUACCUACAGAAGAAGCACCGGCUAACUCCGUGCCAGCAGCCGCGGUAAUACGGAGGGUGCGAGCGUUAAUCGGAAUUACUGGGCGUAAAGCGCAUGCAGGCGGCCUGUUAAGUCAGAUGUGAAAGCCCGGGGCUUAACCUCGGAAUUGCAUUUGAAACUGGCAGGCUAGAGUCUUGUAGAGGGGUUAGAAUUUCAGGUGUAGCGGUGAAAUGCGUAGAGAUCUGAAGGAAUACCAGUGGCGAACGGCGGCCCCCGUGGACAAAGACUGACGCUCAGAUGCGAAAGCGUGGGAGCAAACAGGAUUAGAUACCCCUGGUAGACUGUCA
rnacentral:rRNA from 1 species